GGCACCAGUGCAGGAGAGAGUCUGGCACGGCUGUCUGAGGUGAUCAUCUCCCCCAGUUUCUUGCUGGUUCAUGUGUUUCCACUGGCUCAAUCGCAGGUGCAUUUCCAUGCAGUUUUUCUUCCUUCCCCGACUGGCGACCUGUCCACGGUGCACCAUGCCACUUACCCUGUGGUAGUUGGGAUAGAUUCCACCCUCCUACAACCCCCAUAAGGAUAAGCAGGAGAGAAGUAAUGUAUGGUGUCAUGUUCUGUGGGAGUGUCUGGGAUUUUCCAGGGUGUGGUGUCCAGACCAUCCUCCAAGGCAGAGUUUUCAGCGCCUCACCUGCUCCUCAUCCUGCAUGCUUCACAUCGCCAGUUUGUCCUGCUACCCCUGUUUCCACCAGAUUCACCUCCUGCCACGUUCACACUCCAGUGCUGGUCUGAACUGCUCCAACUACAACAGCCAGGUCUCAAAGCUGCGCUCCUGCCCGUCUUUACUCGUCUGGACUAGAUAUCGUUCUUUACUGUGCUCAGCCCACCGGACACUCUCAUGGACACCUCCCCCAGGACUCAAAAUCUCCAACUGGAAAGCUCCCCCUCCCUUGGUUCUUCGUGUUCUCCCCUGUGUUUACGCGUUUCUCGGCCCUUGACUGUCCUCAGCUCUGCGUCCCCUGUUUCAGUUU